rnacentral:rRNA from 1 species
UUAAUUGAAGAGUUUGAUCAUGGCUCAGAUUGAACGCUGGCGGCAGGCCUAACACAUGCAAGUCGAGCGGUAACAGAGAGGUGCUUGCACCUUUGCUGACGAGCGGCGGACGGGUGAGUAAUGCUUGGGAACAUGCCUUGAGGUGGGGGACAACAGUUGGAAACGACUGCUAAUACCGCAUAAUGUCUACGGACCAAAGGGGGCUUCGGCUCUCGCCUUUAGAUUGGCCCAAGUGGGAUUAGCUAGUUGGUGAGGUAAUGGCUCACCAAGGCAACGAUCCCUAGCUGGUUUGAGAGGAUGAUCAGCCACACUGGAACUGAGACACGGUCCAGACUCCUACGGGAGGCAGCAGUGGGGAAUAUUGCACAAUGGGCGCAAGCCUGAUGCAGCCAUGCCGCGUGUGUGAAGAAGGCCUUCGGGUUGUAAAGCACUUUCAGUCAGGAGGAAAGGGUGUGAGUUAAUACCUCACAUCUGUGACGUUACUGACAGA